rnacentral:lncRNA from 1 species
ACAGGAUUCACUCCAUAAACCUCUCUGUGGUCUUGAAGCCUUGCCUACCCCACCAACCCAAUUGGAAGCUACAGACUUCCCCUUGCUAAGGCCAUCAUUCCUCCUCUGUACUGAGCAUCCCUGUGGACCACAGCAGAAACAUGAAGAUGGAGAGUUGGGGUUAAGGUAGAGCAUGGGAAGUAACUGGUGGAUGGGUGAGAAGACAUCCUUCCUGCUGGCUAACACUAUGGUCUUCUCAGAAUCCCCUGCUGCACUCAGUGGUUGGGACCAAAGGACAAAUUAUGGCGGGAGAAGGCAGGGUUGAGGGAACAAAGCAGAAGGCAGGACCAAAAGAAUAACCAAGGAAUAGGCCAGAGCUCUGGAAAACCUUAUUGCUCAAGCAGAGUUCAGCUGCAGUAGGAAACCAAACAGUCCAGCGCUUGGAGAUAUUUCACUGAGAAGUGGCCACUUGCAGUUCUAUGAUUCAACACAUUGGAUUGCUGCAUGGAGAUCAAGCAGUUCCCAAUAAGGAGGGAUCUCUGAGCAUCUGCUAGAUGAAGAAUUUCACUUUCUGGGCUCAUUAGAAUUUGACCCCUCUGAUUAAAUGAAGGCUUGCAAAAGAUACUUGAAUAAGGAACAUAGCAAAUGUCUGCACGAAUAACUCGUGGGAGGCCUAAACUGUUCUUUGCAGAAAGCAUGACAUUUUCUGCUUUUUGUUCAUGCACUGGGACAAAAUAUACUUCCAUCUUUCUAAAACAAAAGAAGUGCAUUCUCUCCCCUCCUCCACCACCAAAUUGAUCAGGGCUGCAUCUGAUUUCUGAAAAUUCAACACUGCUAUCCAUGACCAGCAGUUCAAACAAGAUUUGCCAGCAGUAUCAUGCAAAAUGGCCUAGUGAUUAGUAUACAAUAAGUCUGUCGCUGAUAGCUAUUUGUAAGCUAAAAGCAUCCAAGCAGAAACAGCCCCAAUGAUUGGUGUCAGAUAAACUAUUCAGCAUCCAGUUGUUCUGGGAACAGCAUGGCGUCCCUGAAAAUUAGCUGUGCCUUUCUAAACACACACACACACACACAAAGAUGAAGAAAGCAAUAUUGACUGGAAUUUGAGGCAUGUAGAAAAGUUUGCAGGACAAGCUUUUUGCAAUCAAUCGCCUCCACCCUUCCCCCACCUGUCCAUAUAAUUCUAAUGCCUCUGAACUUACUAGGUAGAUUUCCAUUCUAUUUCACCAUGCUAAGUAGGAGAACUAGUUGCAUUUACAACCCAGAAAGAGAGAUGCAUGAGUGUGGAGUUUGCUUUAUUUAUUUAUUUAUUUGUUUGUUUGUUUGUUUGUUUGAGACAUACUCUCAGAUCCAAGAAGCUGGGAUGGGUGGACUGCUACCCACUGAGUCUGGUAGGGUGUACGGUAGGGCGGACAACAGUAGGUGGUGCUAGAGGCGAUGAGAAUCAGAGCCAACUAAUUCUGGUGUUGUUCCCAUCCUUCUCCCUGUUGAGUUCUACAAGGGCAACACAGAAUGAGGAGGAAGCUGAAAGGCCAUGCUGUCCCUUGGACUGGUUGUAAAUGAGAAGGCAGAAGAGAAGACUGAG